rnacentral:misc_RNA from 1 species
GUGAUUAUGAUAGCUACUAUGGGAGAUUUUUCCUCCAUUGGUAUAGACAGGUCUUAAUAGAUCAUGCUAAUAACGUUCUCACCCUGGCAAGUCUUGCAUUUGAGGGGAUACAAAUUGUCGUGAAGAUUCCAUCAAUUUAUUGGUGGUACAGAACGAGCAGCCAUGCUGCAGAGCUCACAGCUGGAUAUUACAACCCAACGAACCAGGAUGGCUAUUCUCCAGUGUUUGAAGUUCUCAAAAAGCACUCUGUAACAAUAAAGUUUGUAAGCUCAGGGCUUCAGGUUCCAGAAACUGAUGACGCGUUAGCAGAUCCAGAAGGCUUGAGUUGGCAGAUAAUAAAUUCAGCAUGGGAUAAGAAGAUCACUGUUGCUGGUCAGAAUGCAUUUCCGUGCUAUGAUAGAGAAGGAUUUAUGAGGCUGGUUGAGACUGCAAAGCCUAGAAAUGAUCCUGAUCGUCACCGUUUCUCUUUUUUUGCAUUCCAACAACCAUCGCCUUUGGUUCAGAGUGCAAUAUGUUUCUCGGAACUGGACUACUUCAUCAAAUGCAUGCACGGAGAAAUCAACAAUGUGGAAUCUUAAAUCAUCAUAGAAUCUUUGCUUGAUAAUGAAGAUGGAUCUUUAUUUACUUUCAAAACUUUUUUUCCUUGUACUUAUCCAAAUAUGUUUGUCCAAUUUAUGUAAAUUGUAAAUGGAAUUCAGUUGAUUUAUACAUAAAAC